UUAGUACCGUGAGGGAAAGUUGAAAAGAACUUUGGCAUGAGAGAGAGUUCAAGAGUACGUGAAACCGUUCAGGGGUAAACCUGAGAAACCCAAAAGAUCGAAUGGGGAGAUUCAACGUAAACUUUGCCGAUUGCCGUGUAACGCGCGAUAUUUGUUAUCUCGGUAACGAGUACGCCGUUGCUGCGGUUUGUAUUGGUUAAGUAAGCGUGCACUUCUCCCCUAGUAGGACGUCGCGACCCGUUGGGUGCCGGCCUACGGCCCGCAAGGUCGACUGUUGCUUGGGCGUUUACGCGCCUCUCGUGGCAGACCUGCGGAUGCCCGGCCGGCUGCCCGGCGGUAGUGAUUAAUCAAGAAUUGGUAUUUGGCCGCAUCUCGUAUGUGCGUACCGGCUCAUUGGCAGGCUCGCCUUGCUCGGUAAACGGACCUAGCGCCGUUGCCGGGUACUUGGUGGGUCGUUCGCUGACGAUGUCCUCGUACUGGCUAUUACCGGUCGGCGACGCUACUGCUUGAUAAUGGGAUAACUAUUCAGGACCCGUCUUGAACACCGGACCAAAA
rnacentral:rRNA from 1 species